UACGGAGGGUGCGAGCGUUGUUCGGAAUCACUGGGCGUAAAGCGCGUGUAGGCGGCCCACUAAGUCUGAUGUGAAAGCCCGGGGCUCACCCCCGGAAGUGCAUUGGAAACUGGUGGACUCGAGUCCCGGAGAGGAGAGUGGAAUUCCUGGUGUAGCGGUGAAAUGCGUAGAUAUCGGGAGGAACACCAGUGGCGAAGGCGGCGAUCUGGACAGAUAUUGACGCUGAGGUGCGAAAGCGUGGGGAGCAAACAGG
rnacentral:rRNA from 1 species